GGUUACUAUAGUAACGGUUACCAUAGCGACGGUUACUAUGGCAACGCUAACCAUGGUAACGGUUACCAUGACUAAUAUUAUUAUAGCAACGGU